AUUACGCUCCAUCUGCAUGGUCCAAAGGCAUAUCACUACCUGAGAGAGACCCUGCAUAUUCACCUGCCACAUCCCAGUUCACUGCAAAGGUGGCUGAGCUCUCUCGAUGCCGGACCUGGUUUCAAUAAAAUGAUGUUGGACAUGCUGAAAAGACAGCGUCAGGAAGACGAGGUCAAGUACAGAUGUGUCACUCUGAUGCUGGAUGCCAUGUCCAUCAAAAAUCACGUCCAGUAUGAUCCUCAGACACAAACAAUGUUUGGAUAUGUGGACACGGGGGAUCGAUUGAAUGAGACUGACAUGGCUUCCGAUGUUCUUGUGUUUAUGGUGGCUGGGCUUCAAGGUUAUCGGAAAGCUCCAAUUGCGUAUUAUUUGACCAAGUCCCUCACAGCACAAUCACAGACAGUCUUAGUAGAGCAUGCAUUAGAAGAGCUGCAUCGUCGUCAGAUAAGAGUGGUGUGCAUGACAAUGUCAGUAUGUGCACUCAACUUGGGUGCGAUCUAAAAGCAGACCCCUGUGAGCCCUUGAAGGCCCAUUUCCCACAUCCAGUAACCCAUGACGAUGUUUUUGUUAUGAUGGAUGCUUGGCCACAUGUUCAUUGUUGCAUACAUUAUUGCACAUACUUUGCUCUGGUUGACUCUGUCAAAGUGCUUUUUAUAUAUUUUGAUUGUAUUUACAUAAUUGUGCAGAACAUGGUGCUUUACAUUUGACGUGUGCAGUGAAAAAAAAAUCUGAUUCUGCAGGCAUACAGCCCAAUUAGAAGCACUACUGGCACUAUCAAUUGGAAGUACAUAGUUCAUCUGAACAAUGUCCAAAAGAAAAGUGGACUACAUGCUGCCAACAGAGUCACAGAUAAGCAUGUGAACUUUGCUAAUCAGAAGAUGAAGGUGUAUUUGUAUGAUGAUUAAUGUAUAGAGGGGCGCAAUAGUAAUGGGCUCUAGGGCUUUAUUGUUUUUAUACUUUUUGAUGAUGUUUGUAUCUUGUAGUGCUAAUUUGUACUUCAUUUCUCCUUAUAAACUCAAUCAAGGUCUCCCUGGCUGCCCAGACUUUGAGUUAGGGAUUUGCAUCAUUUGACCAAAAUCAUUUCUAACAUUUGAGUGAUUAAUUGGUUUAACCCCUUUAUCCCUUUAACACCCACCAAAAGGUGAAUGCCACCAGGAUUAACCCUUUAUCUUUUUCUAAUCAAAUUCAACAAUAUGCAAGAACUUGGAUAAAACUGUUUAUACCUACCUCAUACUUACCUCAGAGGCACCCUUAUUGUCCCAUGUCAGAUUUACAGGUGUAAAGCAGUGCAGCAAUUUAAUUUUAAAAAGCAUAGCCACAGAGGAAAUGGAGAGAAAUCAAACUAUGCCUCAUACUUGGGUGUUUGCUAUCUGAUACCUGCUAUAGUGAUGAUUUCAGUGCUUCCAGUUAAUUUAGAUAUUUGUUUAUAGAUAACAGACAGGCUGUUUAGCAUCUUGAACAGUCGCAAUCCCAGAGCCCAAGGGUUCAAAGCCCCCCUUGGUUCUAGGAAUUGG